rnacentral:hammerhead_ribozyme from 1 species
AUCCAGCAGACGAGUCCCAAACAGGACCAAAUGCGCGUCCUGGAU